rnacentral:tRNA from 1 species
GCCUGGGUGGCUCAGUUGGUUAAGCGUCCAAUUUCGGCUGGGGUCAUUGUGGGUUCAAACCCUGCAUCAGGCU